GUAACAAGGCUCCGUAGGGUGAACCUGCGGAGGGAUCAUUACACAAAUAUGAAGGCGGGCUGGAAUCUCUCGGGGUUAAAGCCUUGCUGAAUUAUUCACCCUUGUCUUUUGCGUACUUCUUGUUUCCUUGGUGGGUUCGCCCACCACUAGGACAAACAUAAACCUUUUGUAAUUGCAAUCAGCGUCAGUAACAAAUUAAUAAUUACAACUUUCAACAACGGAUCUCUUGGUUCUGGCAUCGAUGAAGAACGCAGCGAAAUGCGAUAAGUAGUGUGAAUUGCAGAAUUCAGUGAAUCAUCGAAUCUUUGAACGCACAUUGCGCCCUUUGGUAUUCCAAAGGGCAUGCCUGUUCGAGCGUCAUUUGUACCCUCAAGCUUUGCUUGGUGUUGGGCGUCUUGUCUCUAGCUUUGCUGGAGACUCGCCUUAAAGUAAUUGGCAGCCGGCCUACUGGUUUCGGAGCGCAGCACAAGUCGCACUCUCUAUCAGCAAAGGUCUAGCAUCCAUUAAGCCUUUUUUUCAACUUUUGACCUCGGAUCAGGUAGGGAUACCCGCUGAACUUAUGCAUAUCAAUAAGCGGAGGAAA
rnacentral:rRNA from 1 species